UUUUUUAAUUAUUUACUCAUUUUUUUUAAAGGAGAAUAGAUAAUAAUCUGGAGUUUUCUUUUAGGUUUUUAGAGAACAUACAAACAAAAAAAGCUAUUACAUGUUGCUGAAAUAACAGAAAAAAUGAAGAGCGAAACUGACAUAUGCAACAAAACCAAAUGUUAUUUUCCAGUCUGACAGAAGGAACUGGAAAACAGAAAAAAAACAAAUAAACAAGUAAUACGAUUUGUGAACAAGUGAGUCUCCAUGUCCUGCAGCCAACCAUGAAAUAUUCCCUCUAGAUACAGUUGCCUGGGAAAAACACGGAGUAUGCCAGUAUUCUGCUAUUACAGGAAGAAAAAUCAUAGCGUUGCUUAUAGUGUCAAGACCAGUAACAAAGGAACUGUGAAAUAUUUGCACCUUGAAGACUUGCAGAAGUCCAAACCUGAAAUACUGCAACAGCAAGGACUAUAAAAAUGCAAUACAAAUUCCACUGUAAACACUACGUAUUUCAAGUCAGAGGAACCAGUUAUAUGAGAGGCUGAAAACAAAACACAAGUACCUUCAAAAUCAUAUUACGUUGCAGCAGACAACACAAGUUCUUCUAACCAAAAAUCUGUUUUCCUUGAAUGUCUAAGGUGAAAAGGUUCAAAACCUUAAAUUUCACUUUAUAAUUUCUACUGCUCUGAUAAGGCAAGUCUAGUAAGUUAAAAUUUAUUAUUAAAACUUACCAUUCUCUUUUCAGUGUAGCUGUUGUAUAACAUGAACCAAUUUGGAACAGUGCACUUUGAACUAAAAUUUGCAAAUGAUGCCAACAGUGAAAAGAAGUCAACACUACAUCCUUCACUUGUGCCAUCAGUGAUUUCCAGGACUGAAUUAAGAGACACCAAAAGCUCAGAAACGAAGUCACUGCAUAUUGCUUAAACCUAUAUACUCAUCUAAAUAUGGACUAAAAUGCUGUGAAUGAAUAAGAUAAUAAUCUUUCAUGAGCACUUAAAUGCUAUCUUUUUGACAUAUCACAGGUAAGUCCUUACAUUUCAAGUAAUUUUAUGUGUUUGCAAAAAAAAAAAAAAAAGAAAGAAAGAAAGAAAGAAAAGACAAAAGACAAAAUGGGACUAUGAAUUGCAAAACUAUGCACUGUAUAUGACUCAACUUUAAGAUCAAGCCAACCACGGCAUCCUCCUCUUAAAACUACUGUAUUUAACAAAGGGUAGGGAGAGAAGUGAUCCUAUGGGAUCAGCUCAGAGCCAGCUUUAAGCACAGAAGUUAUGUCAUUUUUACAUCCAAGUGACAUAAAACAUCACACAGCUAGCCCAAGAGAGUAAAGCCCAGUUGAAAUCCCUAUUAACAAAGCAUUUCCUACAUGAUCAAACAGGUAUGAAUCGGACUAAAACUUCAGCCUUUGAAGGCGUAGAGCACCUCAAGGAAUACAGACAAACUCCCAUCUGCACCACUGUCUGACAUGGUGUUAGUAAGAACUCACAGCUGUCUUGAGACCCAGCUUUCAGCUUAGGAGCUGCAUUACCUUCAAUGUACAGAAUUUUGAUUUAAUAGGUGAUUAGACUGGCAGCCUCACUUGAGAACUGGCUUCAUAGAUGUGUUUCAUAGAGAACAUGAAAUGACUCUCAGGGCACCUAUUUACUGCUUGGUAACUGUUCAUGAAAAAUAGCAUGUCAUGUUGUACCACUGAGCAACUAACUUACAGAAAUACCAGAAGAAAAUGCAUCUGAUGUACAAAAUCUUCUUCAUCUCAGUGAAAUAUGAUUAAAAAAAAAAGAAAAAUCGUGACGAUAUGCUACAAGAUGCUUUAGUAGCCACGCUAUUAAAAUAUGUAUGCUAUGAAUUUUUCAUUCUCAUUAGCAUCACUUGCUAAUUCUGAACCUAAUACAUCCUCCAACUUGACAACAGUUUGCAUUCCACUUCUCUUCAAGCUAAUAUACUGGCCUUCAAACAAAUCAAAACCUGCUUUAGUGUGAUAGUCUUGAGUCAGUAGAACCAACUUCUAAAUAGUUCACAAUUUAUCAUUUAAAUUGAAGGUGGCGGCUAGGGGAUACGUAGUGACAUGACAUAAAAGCCCAACUCCCAAACACCAGAAAACUUAAGAGAAAUCAAUGCACACAAAAAGCUUUCAUAAAAUAUAAUUGAUUACAGUAUCCUAAGGAGGAAUAAAGUGAAGAGAGGCUCCACAGGAGCACAUCUUCUCUGACCUCCUGAUGGGAGUUUUACCAAGGUUAUCUACUUUAUGAGGUCCUGAUUUUGUCUGGGAUAAGAUUUAAUUUUGUUCACAGUAGCUUGUAUGUGCUGCAUUAUGGAUUCAGGAUGAAAAUAAUAAUGAUAACACACUGACACUUUAGUUGUUGAGCAGUGCUGCACAGAGCAAAGAACACUUCAUUUCCUCACACUGUUCUGCCAGCAAGGAGCUGGAGGUGCAUAAGGAGCUGGGAGGGGACAGAACUGGGGCAGCUGACCCAAACAGGCAAAAGAAGUGUCCCGUAACCUAUCAUAUCACACUCAACUGUAAAACCAGGCCAAAGGAGUAACUGGGACACCUGGCAUGACAGUGUUUGCCUUCCCAACUAACAACUAUGUGCAAUGAGCUCUGCUGUUCUGGAAGUGGCUGAACACCUUGUCUGCUGAUGGAACAUAAUGCAUGAAUUCCUUGUUUUGUCUUGCCUUCACACACAGCUUUUACUUUACCUACAAAACUGUCUUUAUUUCAACCCACAGGCUCUUGCACUUUUUUUACCUCUUCCAUUUUCUUCCCCAGUGCUGCUGGGGAUGAGCGAGCAAGCAGCUGGGUAGUGUUGAGCUGGUUGCUGGGUUAAACCAUUACACCGUCAAGUACAACUCUACUUUCUCACCACCUUUUGAUUUUCGGGAAUGCUGGCCUGAGAUAUAUAACACUCCUGUAAGACACUGAUAAUUAGCUCUUCAGUCUACAGGUAAUAAGCCUACAGAACUGCCAGACUAGCUAAGAACGAUGACUGAAUCAUCUAACUGAUAAUUUGGUCUCUUAAAACAUGAGAGACACUAGCUGCAAAGUGGAGAGAACAUUAGCUCAGCUUUUAAGGAAAAUUUAAGUGUUUUCUAUUCUGGGAUAUAAAACAACACUGUAUGAUUGUCAAUUCUGAGUAUGAGGCAGUGGCACCAGUAACUCAAUUGUUAGCAUAACACCACAUUUAUUAACAUCAAAUAGUCUUUUCUCUUACCCCUUAGCAAAGGAGCUUUUACAUAUAACACAGAAAUGUUAAAAGAAAGGAAGACAGCUGAGUGAAACUGAUCUUGCAGUACAAGAAAACAAAGAAUGGAUUGUCACUUUUCUUUAAAAUGGUGUUCAAAAUUUAUUCUUUCAGUUUGACUUCAGAAAUCUGAGUUUCACUUCUGUAAAACACUGAGACAAGAACUAAUGCUACACUGAGAGUAAAACUUUCAAAACAAGUCUCAUUUUAAUGCACUCUUUGGCAG